rnacentral:ncRNA from 1 species
UACCUGGUUGGUUCUGCCAGUAGUCAUAUGCUUUGUCUCAAAGAUUAAGCCAUGCAUGUGUAAGUAUGAACAAAUUCAGAUUGUGAAACUGCGAAUGGCUCAUUAAAUCAGUUAUAGUUUGUUUGAUGGUACUACUAUUUGGAUAACCGUAGUAAUUCUAGAGAUAAUACGUGCAACAAACCCUGACUUCUGGAAGGGAUGCAUUUAUUAAAUAAAAGGUCGACGCGGGCUCUGCCUGUUGCUGCGAUGAUUCAUGAUAACUCGACGGAUCGCACGACCAUCGUGCCGGUGACGCAUCAUUCAAAUUUCUGCCCUAUCAAUUUUUGAUGGUAGGAUAGUGGCCUAGCAUGGUGGUGACGGGUGACAGAGAAUUAGGGUUCGAUUCCAGAGAGGGAGCCUGGGAAACGGCUACCACAUCCAAGGAAGGCAACAGGUAUGUAAAUUACCCAAUCCUGACACGGGGAGGUAGUGACAAUAAAUAACAAUACCGGGCUCUAUGAGUCUGGUAAUUGGAAUGAGUACAAUCUAAAUCCCUUAACGAGGAUCCAUUGGAGGGAAAAUCUGGUGCCGGUAGUCGCGGUAAUUUCAGCUCCAAUAGCGUAUAUUUAAGUUGUUGCAGUUAAAAACCUCGUAGUUAGACUUAGGGAUGGGUCGACCGGUCCACCCUAGGUGUGCACCGGUCCACCCUAGGUGUGCACCGAUUGUCUCGUCCCUUCUGUCGGCAAUGCGCUCCUGGCCUUAAUUGGCCUGGUCGUGCUUUCGGUGCUGUUACUUUGAAGAAAUUAGAGUGCUCAAAGAAAGCCUACGCUCUGUAUAAAUUAGCGUGGGAUAGCAUUAUAGGAUUUCGUUUCUAUUAUGUUGGCCUUCGGGAUCAGAGUAAUGCUUAACAGGGACAGUCGGGGGCAUUCGUAUUUCAUAGUCAGUGGUGAAAUUCUUGGAUUUUUGAAAGACGAACAACUGCGAAAGCAUUUGCCAAGUAUGUUUUCAUUAAUCAAGAACGAAAGUUGGGGGCUCAAAGACGAUCAGAUACCGUCCUAGUCUCAACCAUAAACGAUGUUGACGAGGGAUCGGCAAAUGUUGCUUUUAGUACUCCGCCGACACCUUAUGAGAAAUCAAAGUUUUUUGGUUCCGGGGGGAGUAUGGUUGCAAGGUUGAAACUUAAAGGAAUUGACGGAUGGGCUGUAACAACCCGAAAAACU